CCUAUAAAUAAUAAAAGGUCCAUUUAGGUCCCUUAACUUUAUUUAAAGUAUCAAUUUGGUCCUUUCCAUUAAUUUAAUUUAAAAAAACGUUAAGUUUAGGGACUAAACUAAUACUAAUUAAAUAAGUUAAGGGUCAAACUAAUACUAAUUAAAUAAGUUAAGAGACCAAAAUUAUACGUUCUUCAACUUGAUUUUAACUUACUUAUGAUUAAUUAUAGCU
rnacentral:pre_miRNA from 1 species